rnacentral:rRNA from 1 species
ACUGGGGGUAGAGCACUGUUUCGGCUAGGGGGUCAUCCCGACUUACCAAACCGAUGCAAACUCCGAAUACCAGUGAGUACUAUCCGGGAGACACACGGCGGGUGCUAACGUCCGUCGUGAAGAGGGAAACAACCCAGACCGCCAGCUAAGGUCCCCAAAUUCCAGUUAAGUGGGAAACGAUGUGGGAAGGCUCAGACAGCUAGGAGGUUGGCUUAGAAGCAGCCACCCUUUAAAGAAAGCGUAAUAGCUCACUAGUCGAGUCGGCCUGCGCGGAAGAUGUAACGGGGCUCAAACUGGAUACCGAAGCUGCGGCAGCAGACUUGUUCUGCUGGGUAGGGGAGCGUUGUGUAAGCCUGUGAAGGUGUGUUGAGAAGCAUGCUGGAGGUAUCACAAGUGCGAAUGCUGACGUGAGUAACGAUAAUGCGGGUGAAAAACCCGCACGCCGAAAGACCAAGGUUUCCUGCGCAACGCUAAUCGGCGCAGGGUGAGUCGGCCCCUAAGGCGAGGCAGAAAUGCGUAGCUGAUGGGAAACGGGUUAAUAUUCCCGUACUUCUUAUAACUGCGAUGGAGAGACGGAGAAGGCUAUGCCUACCGGGCGUU